CAUCCCCAAGUUAGGCAUGAAUACCCACUGAGUUUAAGCAUAUCACUAAGCAGAGGAAAAGAAACUUACCAGGAUUCCCCUAGUAAUGGCGAGUGAACCGGGAAGAGCCCAGCAUGAAAAUUAGUGGCUUCACCUGCCGAAUUGUAGUCUGUAGAAGCGUCCUCAGUGACGGAUCGGGCCCAAGUCUCCUGGAAGGGGGCACCAGAGAGGGUGAGAGCCCCAUCGGGCAUGGACCUUGCCGCACCAUGAGGCGCUGUCAGUGAGUCAGGUUGUUUGGGAAUGCAGCCCUAAUCGGGUGGUAAAUUCUGUCCAAGGCUAAAUACGGGCGAGAGACCGAUAGCGAACAAGUAACGCGAGGGAAAGAUGAAAAGGACUUUGAAAAGAGAGUUAAAGAGUGCUUGAAAUUGCCAAGAGGGAAGCGGAUGGAGGCCGGCGAUGCACCCCGGUUGGAUGUGGAACGGCGUCAUCCGGUUCACCACUCGGCUCAGGGGGCAUGCUAGCGCGGGCCGUUGUGGCGGCACAAGCCCAACCUUCUGGUCACACUAUACCUCCAUCACAGUGGUCGAGGAGCAAAGCACGCACCUACCAGGGUGGGCUCUCAGGCACCUGCGUGCUCGUGGCACUGGCCAGUGGGCUUUCCAUCUGACCCAUCUUGAAACACGGACCAAGGAGUCUAACAUGUGUGCGGGUCGACGGGUUGGGAAACCCGCGAGGUGCAAGGAAGCUGACUGUCGAGUCCCCCUCUCGGGGGGUGCACCGCCGACCGACCCUGAUCUUUUGUGAAGGGUUCGAGUGCGAGCACACCUAUUGGGACCCGAAAGAUGGUGAACUAUGUCUGAGCAUGGCGAAGCCAGAGGAAACUCUGGUGGAGGCCCGCAGUGAUACUGACGUGCAAAUCGUUCGUCUGACUAAUGUGCAAGUUUUAUCGGGUAAAGGAAAUGAUUAGAGGCAUCGGGGGCGUAACGCCCUCAACCUAUUCUCAAACUUUAAAUAGGUAAGGCAGUGCGGCUGCUCCAUUGAGCCGUGCCACCGAAUCGUGAGCUCCAAGUGGGCCAUUUUUGGUAAGCAGAACGGGCAAUGCAGGAUGAAUCGAAAGCUGAGUUACGGUGCCAAAUUGCACGCUAACCCAGAUCCAACAAAGGGUGUUGGUUGAUUAAGACAGCAGGACGGUGGUCAUGGAAGUUGAAAUCCGUCAAGGAGUGUGUAACAAUUCACCUACCGAAUCAACUAGCCCCGAAAAUGGAUGGCGCUGAAGCGCGCAACCUAUACUCGGCCGUCGGGGCAAGUUCCAGGCUCCAAUGAGUAGGAGGACACAGGGGUUGUUGCGAAACCUUGGGUGUGAGCCUGGAUGGACCGGCCCCUGGUGUAGAUCUUGGUGGUAGUAGCAAGUAUUCAAAUGAGAACUUUAAAGACUAAAGUGGGGAAAGGUUCCAUGUGAACAGCACUUGGACAUGGGUUAGUCAAUCCUAAGAGAUGGGGAAGCCCUAUUUCAAGGGUGCACUUUGUGUGAUCAUCGAAAGGGAAUCAGGUUAAUAUUCCUGAAUCGGGACAUGGCAGCGGACGACAACGUUAGGAAAUCUAGAGACAUCGGCAGGGGCCCCGGGAAGAGUUAUCUUUUCUUUUUAACAGCCUACCCACCCUGAAAUCGGUUCAAUCGGAGAUAGGGUCCAGCGGCUGGAAGAGCACUACACGUCCCACGGUGUCUGGUGCGCCUUCGGUGGCCCUUGAAAAUCUCGAGGACCGAGUACCAUUCAUGCCCGGUUGUACUCAUAACCGCAUCAGGUCUCCAAGGUGAACAACCUCUGGUCAAUAGAAUAAUGUAUGUAAGGGAAGUCAGCAAAAUGGAUCUGUAACUUUAGGAAAAGGAUUGGCUCUGAGGGUUGGGCCUAGGGGUCUGCACCUCGAACUUGUGGGCUAUUGGUGGCCUGCCUGAGCUACUCCUGUGGCGAGGAUGGGCCAUCGCAUGUCGAUCAGGUGACAGACGCAGGGCGCUCCCUUCGAGGGGCUUUCCCUAGGCAGCGAACAGCUGACUCAAAACUGGUAUGGACAAGGGGAAUCUGACUAUUUAAUUAAAACAAAGCAUUGCGAUGGUCCCUGCGGAUGCUGACGCAAUGUGAUUUCCGCCCAGUGCUCUGAAUGUCAAAGUGAAGAAAUUCAACCAAGCACGGGUAAAUGGCGGGAGUAACUAUGACUCUCUUAAGGUAGCCAAAUGCCUCAUCAUCUAAUUAGUGAUGCACAUGAAUGGAUUAACGAGAUUCCCACUAUCCCUAUCUACUAUCUAGCAAAACCAUAGCCAAGGGAACGGGCUUGGUGAAAUUAGUAGGGAAAGAAGACCCUGUUGAGCUUGACUCUAGUCCAACUUUGUGAAAUGACUUGAGAGGUGUAGAAUAAGUGGAAGCCGUUUCGGCGCAAGUGAAAUACCACUACUUUUAACAUUAUUUUACUUAUUCCGUGAGGUGGAGAUGGGGCAAUGCCCCUAUUUUUGGCCUUAAGGUGCGUCUAGGCACCCCGAUCCACGUGGAAGACAUUGUCAGGUGGGGAGUUUGGCUGGGGUGGCACAUCUGUUAAAAGAUAACACAGGUGUCCUAAGAUGAGCUCAACAAGAACAGAAAUCUCGUGUGGAACAAAAGGGUAAAAUCUCAUUUGAUUUUGAUUUUCAGUACGAAUACAAACCAUGAAAGCGUGGCUUAUCGAUCCUUUAGACUUUCAGAAUUUGAAGCUAGAGGUGUCAGAAAAGUUACCAUAGGGAUAACUAGCUUGUGGCAGCCAAGCGUUCAUAUUGACGUUGCUUUUUGAUCCUUCGAUGUCGGCUCUUCCUAUCAUUGUGAAGCAGAAUUCACCAAGUGUUGGAUUGUUCACCCACCAAUAGGGAACGUGAGCUGGGUUUAGACCAUCGUGAGACAGGUUAGUUUUACCCUACUGAUGAUCCACACCGUGAUAGUAAUUCAACUUAGUACGAGAGGAACUAUUGAUUCACACAUUUGGUCAUCACGCUUGGUUGAAAAGCCAGUGGCGCGAAGCUACCAUGUGUUGGAUUAUGACUGAAUGCCUCUAAGUCAGAAUCCAUGCUAGAUGUGGCGCAUCUCUCUCUCCGGCUACAUCGCGACCCCUAGUAGGGGUUCUCUUGCACCCCCAGGGGCCCGUGUCAUUGGCUACCUUUGAUUGGCGCAACCGCCUGGUCAGAGCAACCUUGGAUAACAAUUUCAAGCUAUCGGCGAGAAGAAUCUUUUGCAGAUGACUUAAAUAAGUGACGGGGUAUUGUAAGUGGUAGAGUGGCCUUGCUGCCAUGAUCCACUGAGAUUCAGCCCUUUGUUGCCUCUCUUUUU